UACGUAGGGUGCGAGCGUUAAUCGGAAUUACUGGGCGUAAAGCGUGCGCAGGCGGUUUUGUAAGCCAGAUGUGAAAUCCCCGGGCUUAACCUGGGAAUGGCAUUUGGGACUGCAAGGCUUGAGUUUGGCAGAGGAGACUGGAAUUCCUGGUGUAGCAGUGAAAUGCGUAGAUAUCAGGAGGAAUACCGAUGGCGAAGGCAGGUCUCUGGGCUAGAACUGACGCUCAUGCACGAAAGCCGUGGGGAGCGAAACAAACG
rnacentral:rRNA from 1 species